CGAGAAGCUGUUAACAUUUCGGGUAACAGUGGCUUCGUUUCAGCCGUAUCUGUCGGAGACUGAACAGAAUCACACAGUCACACAGGCCAUCGACCCGAAACAACAUUGCAACCAAGAGCUGAGCAGGACGUCUCGGUGGUGUAAACUGUCCCAGAAUGCCCAGCGAAGUGGAAAACGACUGCUGCCAAGAAAUACAAAAGGUUGUAAUACGAAUGGAGCAGCUUCCAGUCCAGCCUAGAUGCCUGGUGAACCAAACAGGCCUAGAGCUUGAAUCCAUCCAUCCAGCCUGCAGAACAUUAACAACUAAGAGUGGACUAUAAACCUUUUUUUUUUACAUCUAAUGAGAUACAGCCUUCUACAAUUAAAUUGAAACAUGUCUCAUUAUACCACAGCACCUGAAUAACUAGAAUGAAAUGAAUGUUAAUCUCAUUAUAAAUGAAUGUUUUCCUCAAUAUAAAUAAAUGUUUUCAA